rnacentral:rRNA from 1 species
AGUGAACGCUGGCGGUAGGCCUAAUACAUGCAAGUCGAACGGCAGCACAGAGGAGCUUGCUCCUUGGGUGGCGAGUGGCGGACGGGUGAGGAAUACAUCGGAAUCUACUCUGUCGUGGGGGAUAACGUAGGGAAACUUACGCUAAUACCGCAUACGACCUACGGGUGAAAGCAGGGGACCUUCGGGCCUUGCGCGAUUGAAUGAGCCGAUGUCGGAUUAGCUAGUUGGCGGGGUAAAGGCCCACCAAGGCGACGAUCCGUAGCUGGUCUGAGAGGAUGAUCAGCCACACUGGAACUGAGACACGGUCCAGACGCCUACGGGAGGAAGCAGUGGGGAAUAUUGGACAAUGGGCGCAAGCCUGGUCCAGCCAUACCGCGUGGGUGAAGAAGGCCUUCGGGUUGUAAAGCCCUUUUGUUGGGAAAGAAAUCCAGCUGGCUAAUACCCGGUUGGGAUGACGGUACCCAAAGAAUAAGCACCGGCUAACUUCGUGCCAGCCGCCGCCGUAA